UUUCUCUUUCCCUAUUAAAAAAUAUGUCUUGUGAUGUACGCCUGUAACCUCAGCACUGGGGAGGCCGAGGCAGGAGGAU
ensembl:miRNA